rnacentral:rRNA from 1 species
AUUGAACGCUGGCGGCAGGCUUAACACAUGCAAGUCGAGCGGAGAUGAGGUGCUUGCACCUUAUCUUAGCGGCGGACGGGUGAGUAAUGCUUUGGAAUCUGCCUAUUAGUGGGGGACAACAUUCCGAAAGGAAUGCUAAUACCGCAUACGCCCUACGGGAGAAAGCAGGGGAUCUUCGGACCUUGCGCUAAUAGAUGAGCCUAAGUCGGAUUAGCUAGUUGGUGGGGUAAAGGCCUACCAAGGCGACGAUCUGUAGCGGGUCUGAGAGGAUGAUCCGCCACACUGGGACUGAGACACGGCCCAGACUCCUACGGGAGGCAGCAGUGGGGAAUAUUGGACAAUGGGGGGAACCCUGAUCCAGUCAUGCCGCGUGUGUGAAGAAGGCCUUAUGGUUGUAAAGCACUUUAAGCGAGGAGGAGGCUACUGAGACUAAUACUCUUGGAUAGUGGACGUUACUCGCAGAAUAAGCACCGGCUAACUCUGUGCCAGCCGCCGCAGUAACAC